GAUCAUGGCUCAGAUUGAACGCUGGCGGCAUGCCUUACACAUGCAAGUCGAACGGCAGCAUGGAGAGCUUGCUCUCUGAUGGCGAGUGGCGAACGGGUGAGUAAUACAUCGGAACGUGUCCGUUUGUGGGGACAACCGUCCGAAAGGAUGGCUAAUACCGCAUAAGACCUGAGGGUGAAAAGCCGGGGGAACCGCAAAGGCCCGGCGCAGACGGAGCGCCGAUGAUUGAUUAG
rnacentral:rRNA from 1 species